CUUUAAUGUCCAUGUAGCAGCAGCACUGGGAGUCUGGGCUGAGUGGCAUGAAGAUGUUCAUGUGUGAGAGGAACUACAGAGCAGAAGGAGCUGACAAGCAGCCAGUGGACAGGAAGAAACUGAGGAGGCUUCAAAACAAUCAUUGAUUGUGUGAACCUGAAAGAAAAUAAGGCAGAGCAGGACAAGGAGUUUCCUUGGUUCCUGCAGAUCACUCAUCUUGGUAUGCUGCAAAAACUGUCCUUUGAAGUGCAAAUGAUAUAGGGCUUUCACCCUGGAGUCUCCCCAGCCACUCUCUGCACAUCAUGUCACCACAUUUUUUUGCCUGCUUGCCUGUGCCUGCCUCCAUUGAAAGGUUUGGCACUGCUCAUCUGCAGAAAAUUUGGCCAAGGCUUCUGAAUAGCUCACUAUGACCUGGUGCUGCCUAUUCAUAAUUUUAUCUUCUA